rnacentral:rRNA from 1 species
CACAACAUAACAUUAAUGCAUCGGAUCCUAUUAGAACUCUGUAGUUAAGCGCACUCAAGCUAGAGUAGUACUGGGAUGGGUGACUGCCUAGGAAGUCAUAGUGUUUUAC